CGAACGGGUGCGUAACACGUGAACAACCUGCCCUCGUGUGGGGGAUAGCCAUGCUAACGCGUGGGUAAUACCGCAUACGUUCUUCAGGGGGAGUCCCCUGGGGAAGAAAGCUCUGGCGCACGGGGAGGGGUUCGCGGCCUAUCAGCUAGUUGGCGGGGUAAUGGCCCACCAAGGCGACGACGGGUAGCUGGUCUGAGAGGAUGGCCAGCCACAUUGGGACUGAGAGACGGCCCAG
rnacentral:rRNA from 1 species